rnacentral:rRNA from 1 species
AUCUGGUUGAUCCUGCCAGUUGUCAUAUGCUUCUUUCAAGGACUAAGCCAUGCAAAUGUCAGUGGACCUGAGUUCACUCGGGGGGACUGUGUACGGCUCAUUAAACGGUUAAUAGUCUACCCAACAGCGAGGGUAUUCGUACCCUCCGACGGGAUAUAACCGCCCUAACCGGGCAGCUAAUACCUGGAAGACCAAUCCUGGACCACUCCACCACCUGCGGGGAAACCCGCGGGUGGGGUCCAGGAUGCUAUUGGCCGGAACAAGGACUAACGCCCUCACGGGCAGAUGUAAUUGUUGACGCAGGCCAAUGUAGCGGAAGCGCUUCGGCGCGGUGUUGGACGAAUUCACCACCUAUCAGGUUGAAGGUAGUGUAGUGGACUACCUUGCCUCUGACGGGUAACGGAGGAUUGGGGUUCGAUUCCGGAGAGGGUGCCUGAGAAACGGCAACCAUGACUACGGUCAGCAGCAGGCGCGCAAAUUGCCCAAUGCUAACACAUAGCGAGGCAGCGACGAAAAAUAGUAUACCUGCGGCCUUCGGGUCUCAGGAUGCAAUGAUUUGUAUCUAAUACACACUGCUGAGCAACUAUUGGAGGGCAAGUCUGGUGCCAGCAGCCGCGGUAAUUCCAGCUCCAAGAGCGUAUAUAAAUGUUGUUGCGGUUAAAAAGCCCGUAGUUGGAUUUGAGAGCAAGACCUGUGGGCGCCCCUGCAUUGCCUUCUGGUAGUGUGGGAUUCGCGUCCACGCAUGGGCCAUGCUCUGAUGCAUGCGGGAUCGUUCACUGGCUGAGGGCUCAUUCACUUGGGUCUAAGGCAAUUUCGGAGGGUUCAUACUCCGUAAGGUGCGCCCGCAGACGCCACUGUGAGUAAACCAGAGUGUUCAAGGCAACCAUCGUGCGUGGUUGAAUGUUAAAGCAUGGAAUGGCAAGGGAUCGACCUUCGGGGCCUCUUUUUGUUGGUUCUUAAGCUCUGUUAGGGGAAUCUUGCGGUCGAGCGCCGGCAUGGCCUUGUGCUAAUGUCGGUUCGGCCGCGCACGGGAUCAAUAGGAGCACAGGGGGCCAUGGGUACUGGAGGGCUAGUGGUGAAAUACUUAGACCCCUCCAAGACCGACAUCAGCGAAAGCACUUGGCUAUUGUGCUUUCAUUAAUCAAGGACGAGAGAUCGGGGAUUGAAGAGGAUUAGACACCCUCGUAAUCCGUUCUGUAAAUUCUGCAGACUUGGGAUCGGUCAGCGCUCACUUCUAGACCUGAUCGGCACCUUA